AUAACAAACUAAAACAUAAUAUGAUCUUCCAUUAAUUCUGUGGUUGUGCUGUUCAUUUUUAAAUUUUAAUUUUUUUCAGCAAGCUGUCUUUUUUUUUUCCUAAGGGACUUUCUGGGAUAUGUUUUAGAAUGGGAUCACAGUGAAGAUAAAAAGAAUUUGAUUCAACGGAUUAUAUUAAAGAAAAAAAAAAUUAAACAUUUAGGGGUGCCUAUCUGGCUCAGUUAGUGGAGCAUGUGACUCUUGAUCUAAGGAUUGUGGGUUUGAGCCUCUGUGUGGAGAUUACUUGGAAAAAUAAAAUUUUAAAAAAUUAAACAUUUAGAGGGAAGGGUACUCAGAAAACAAAAGAAGAGAAAAUUGUAGUCAGUAAAGAAAUAUCAGGCCCAUACAGAAAAGCUGAAAGGACCUCUAUGAUAUUAAAACAUGACCAGAAGAUGGUAUAGUAGAAAAGACCAUUUAAAGAACCUUGCAAAUUGCCAUUAUGAAUAACUGUGAUAACUAUUCAUUUAUAACCCCAAAAUCAACUCCUCAGACAUUAAACUUUUUUAUUAUUUAAAUUUAAAAAUUAAAGGGUGCCUGACUGGCUCAGAGGGUUUUGUGAAUCUUGAUCUCAGGGUUGUGAGUUCAAGCUGCAUGUCGUGUGUAAAGAUUAAGAAUGAAUAAAACUUUAAAAACAGACUUAAAAUUUGAGAUUAAUGAAGUCUGGGAAAACAGACUUCAUUAAUCUCAAAUUUUAAUAUCUGACUCUUCUAUGCAAAGCCAUAAUAUGUCUCAGGCACAUGUAUACCAAAUGUGGUAGGCACAGGGUCAUUAUAUCUAUUCCCAUUUUAAUAAUUUCAGAUAAAUUCUGUAGAAAUUGCCUGUAAAAUAUAUACAAAAAGAUAUGUAUCUUAAAGAUUAAUCUCUAAGAGAUCUCUUUCACAUAUAUUUUACAUAUAUUUAGAUAUAUAUAGUCUCUAUGUGUGUGUGUGUGUGUAUAUAUAUAAGACUACACACAUAUUAAGACUGUGUGUGUGUGUGUAUACAGUCUUAAAGAUAAGUUGGUUUUGAAAGAAAGCAGGAGAGUCUCACAGCUUGAAAUGCAGAGAUGAUUUAAAGACGGGAACUAGGAGCUAGAUAUGGUCUUAUUAAAAACUAAGAAGUAUACAAUUCGAUUUAAGAAUAACUUGUUUUAUAAAACAUAAAACAGGCAUUAGUGUAUCAAAAACACAGGUGUGUAGACUGUUGUUUCUCAACCCUUAGUCUUCUGAGUUCUUUCUAUUCUUUAGAGGGAGAGAAUAAAAAAAUAAGGAGAAACUUAAGAGUUUGGGAGAAGAUGGAUUUUUUAGUAUAAAUAUGGAAAGACAGUUCUUGAAAGAAAUGUCAAAAGAAAUCCUCAGAAAUUUGGGGAACAUCUAGACUAAACAAAGGCUUGAGAAUUUAGAGGUUAUGUAUUUUCAAAUGAUUUUAUUUGGAAUUUUGUUUUGUUAUGUGUCUUUAAUUAUAUAUACGUAUAUAUAUCCCCAACUGUAAAAUGAAUGUGGCAGUGAUAAAUUAUCAUUUAGGAGAAUGAAAAAUAUCUAACACCAUUACUUACAAGUUCUAAAAAAGAUAAUCUGCUGAGAGGAAGAAAAUUGUUAUUUUGAAUCCAAGCACAUUUUUCUAAGAAAUUAAAAUUGGGAUUACUUCUGUUUUUCAUAAUUUUUUACAAAGAUUUUUCUUUCUUUAUUUGACAGAUCACAGGUAGGCAGAGAGGCAGGCAAAGGAUGGGUGGGGGGCAGGAAGCAGGCUCCCCGCUGUGCAGAGAGACUGAUGCAGAACUUGAUCCCAGGACCCUGAGAUCAUGAUCUGAGCUGAAGGCAGAGGCUUAACCUACUGAGCCAUCCAGGUGCCCCAGGAUUUCUUCUGUUUUUACCCUAGAGAACAUUGAACCUGCUCCAAGGGCCUCCCAACCCUUUAUAUGUUUUAUCUGUAUAGUGCUGCUAGCUUAAUGAUAGUUAAUUGCUCUUAAUUUCUUAAAAUAGUAUUUAAAAACAACUUAUCACUAUUCAUGAUUUAGCUUUUAAUUCAAAUCACUUAUAGGAUUUCUAGAAUCAGAUUGAGGGAGUACAAAGGAAUAGUAUCAAAAUAGGUUCAUUUGUUUUUUUAAAGGUUUCAAAUUAGGUUUGUUUAAGUAUGCUCUCCAAAGCAAGUGGAGUAAAAGUUUUUAAAUGAAAUAUGCAUCUGACUUUUAGAUACUAACUCCAUUACUGAUUACCAAGAAACAAGAUCUUACUCAAAAUAAUAAUUUCAAUUACAGAAUUUGCCAAAUAAUUUUAAGACUAGAAAGAUACCUCACAAGUCCAUCCAUUCAGCCAUCUCUUUAACUGUAGGUAAGACUGCUUUGUGACAUAGUUACAGUGUUUAAACUAAAGAGUAACACUAAGAGUACACGGGAUUUUACAACUGUUUAUUAGAAGUUGGAUCAGUGCAGAUACGUUUUUUGAUGACCUCAGGUGCAUUUGAAUAUGUACUUUCAGACUUUUGUUCUUCAGUAUCUAUGGAUACACACAUAUAUAUAUGUUUUCUCACCUGUCUUAAAAAUGAUUUCUUUUUUUUUUUUUUUUUUUUGGAAAUGGCUAAUUGGGCUUAGGACGCAUAAUGCCAUAAAUGAGAAGCUGUUUAUUUAUUUGUAAUGUGAUUAUUUCAGAGAGUGUUUUAAGAUGGCAUAGAAACAAAUUAAGCCCACAGAAAUGGAAACCUUGACCUUGAUCCCACUUGUCAUUUGAUCUGUCCACGGAGUCCACCUACUCUAGUCUAGCUAAACAAAAAAUGUCAUCGGGGCGCCUGGGUGGCUCAGUGGGUUGAGCUUCUGCCUUCGGCUCCAAUCGUGGUCUCGGGGUCCUGGAAUCGAGCCCCUCGGGCUCUCUGCUCAGCGGGGAGCCUGCUGCCACCUGCCUUUCUGCCUACUUGUGAUCUCUCUCUCUCUCUCUGUGUCAAAUAAAUAAAUAAUCUUUUUUUUUUUAAUGUCAUCAAACUCUUGUCAUUUUCAUUUGUCAACAUUGGUCUCUUGCAUAUCACAUCAUCUGUAAGAAAUCAUAAUCACUGCCCCUUAAUAUUCCUUCCCAUUACUGUAAUACACUAGGGAAGAAGAGCAAAACUCAUAUAUGGUUCAUGGUCUCCUUCAAGAAGAUGGGAGUCUCCUUGAAUGAGUGCUGAUGAAGGACUUAUGAAUGUUAUGAGGAUUCUUCUGCCACUAAUCCAACAAAAAAUAACUUUGAUUUGCUAGAGUUUGGGUACACUGAACUCUAUUUGACUUUUUUUUUUAGAUUUUUAAAAAAUUUAUUUAUUUUACAGAGAGAGAGAUCACAAAUAGGCAGAGAGGCAAGCAGAGAGAGAGGAGGAAGCGGACUCCCCACUGAGCAGAGAGCCCAAUGCAGGGCUUGAUCCCAGGACCCUGGGAUCAUGACCUGAGCCAAAGUCAGAGGCUUUAACCCACUGAGCCACCCAAGGGCCCCAUCUAUUUGACUUUAAAUGAGAAUUAAAGUGGUUAGGAAGCAGUUGUGAAUUGCAUUGCAAAGUACAUCUCACAAUUAAUGUUUUACAAAACAUGAUAACUGACAUUGUGCUUGGUGGACAUAUUUUUUUCUCAAAAUUUAUUCAUUCUUUUAUUCAACAAACAUUUGAGUGUAUUUGGUGUAAAGUGCUUAAUAGUGGAUAUAGAACAAAGAACAAAACACCCUAGGUUCUUAAGGAGCUUAAAUUCUUGUGAUUGGAGAGAGACAAAAAACAAAUAAUCACAGUAAUUUCAAGUGGUGAUAAAUUCUAUUUUAGAAAUAAACAAGAUUAUGUGACCAGAUUGGGAAGGGAUGCUACUUUAAAUAGAAUGAAAGCCUCUCUGUGGAGGUAACAUUUUGAAUAAGACCUGAAAAUGGGUAAGGAACUAGCCUUUGAAGAGGUGAAAGAAUAUUUCAGUGGGAGAAACCAGCAAGUUGUAGUGACUGUGGGGUUUAAAAAAAAAAAAAAGAAUUUAGUGUGUUAAAAGAAUGGACUGUGGGGCGCCUGGUGGCUCAGCGGGUUAAAGCCUCUGCCUUCGGCUCAGGUCGUGAUCCCAGAGUUCUGGGAUCGAGCCCCGCAUCGGGCUCUCUGUUCAGCAGGGAGCCUGCUUCCUCCUCUCUCUCUCUCUCUGCCUGCCUCUCCGCCUACUUGUGAUUUCUGUCAAAAAAAAAACAACAAAAAAACAACAAAAAAAGAA